CCCUUAGAUGUCCGGGGCCGCACGCGCGCUACACUGAAGGAAUCAGCGUGGCUUUCUCCCUGACCCGAAAGGGUCGGGAAACCCGUUGAAUCUCCUUCGUGAUAGGGAUUGGGGCUUGAAAUUGUUCCCCAUGAACGAGGAAUUCCCAGUAAGCGCGAGUCAUAAGCUCGCGUUGAUUACGUCCCUGCCCUUUGUACACACCGCCCGUCGCUACUACCGAUUGAACGGUUUAGUGAGGGCCUCGGAUUGGUCUCGGCCCGCUCUUUACCGGGCGGCGCCGUUGGUCGAGAAGACGCUCGAACUUGAUCGUUUAGAGGAAGUAAAAGUCGUAACA
rnacentral:rRNA from 1 species